ACGAAGGGUGCAAGCGUUACUCGGAAUUACUGGGCGUAAAGGGUGCGUAGGUGGUUUUGUAAGCCAGAUGUGAAAUCCCCGGGCUUAACCUGGGAAUGGCAUUUGGGACUGCAAGGCUGGAGUUUGGCAGAGGAGACUGGAAUUCCUGGUGUAGCAGUGAAAUGCGUAGAUAUCAGGAGGAAUACCGAUGGCGAAGGCAGGUCUCUGGGCUAUAACUGACGCUCAUGCACGAAAGCGUGGGGAGCAAACAGGA
rnacentral:rRNA from 1 species